UUCCCCUUCGGGGGACAAAGUGACAGGUGGUGCAUGGUUGUCGUCAGCUCGUGUCGUGAGAUGUUGGGUUAAGUCCCGCAACGAGCGCAACCCUUAAGCUUAGUUGCCAUCAUUAAGUUGGGCACUCUAGGUUGACUGCCGGUGACAAACCGGAGGAAGGUGGGGAUGACGUCAAAUCAUCAUGCCCCUUAUGAUUUGGGCUACACACGUGCUACAAUGGAUAAUACAAAGGGCAGCGAACCCGCGAGGUCAAGCAAAUCCCAUAAAAUUAUUCUCAGUUCGGAUUGUAGUCUGCAACUCGACUACAUGAAGCUGGAAUCGCUAGUAAUCGUAGAUCAGCAUGCUACGGUGAAUACGUUCCCGGGUCUUGUACACACCGCCCGUCACACCACGAGAGUCUGUAACACCCGAAGCCGGUGGAGUAACCUUUUAUUAGGAGCUAGCCGUCGAAGGUGGGACAAAUGAUUGGGGUGAAGUCGUAACAAGGUAGCCGUAUCGGAAGGUGCGGCUGGAUCACCUCCUUU
rnacentral:rRNA from 1 species